rnacentral:lncRNA from 1 species
GAGUCUGUAUUAAGGUUAUGAAAAUUGUAAUUUUUUUUUAUUGGAUCGAUCAUGCUGGAGAUUAUCAUUUGGUGAUUGCGAUGAUCUUCUUUUUAUUAUUUCUGAGUUGUGUACAAGCAUUGUAGUAUAUUUUGUCACGAAAUCGCCAAAGGGGGAGAUUGUUAAGGAUUUUUUAGGUUGGCGAAUUUCGUAAUGUUGAAUGGAGUCUUGAAGAGUUGAUCGCGGAAGUUUUUGAAGAAAAGAUUCAAAUUGAAGAAUAAAGAUUCAUUCGUAAAGUUCGGCACUUAAGGUAUGAAGAAAAGAUUAUUUGUGGUGAAGAUACUUAAUUAGAAUAAGUUCAGAAGGCUUAGAUUGCU